CUAUACCGGUCCUAAGGUAGCGAAAUUCCUUGUCGGGUAAGUGCCGACCCGCACGAAAGGCGUAACGAUUUGGGCACUGUCUCAACAACAGACUCGGUGAAAUUGUAAUUCCGGUGAAGAUGCCGGAGACCUGCGACAGGACGGAAAGACCCCAUGGAGCUUUACUGUAGCUUGACAUUGGGUCUUGGUACUACAUGUACAGGAUAGGUGGGAGGCUUUGAAACCAGGACGCCAGUUUUGGCGGAGCCAUCCUUGGGAUACCACCCUUGUAG
rnacentral:rRNA from 1 species